AACGCACCUUGCGCUCUUGGGCCAUUCCUAAGAGCAUGCCUGUUUGAGUGUCGUGAACUCCUCAACCCUGGAUGGAUUUUGAAUCCGACCGGUGGCUUGGAUUUGGGGGCUUGCUGGCCGUUUCGAUUCGGUCUGCUCCCCUUGAAUGCAUUAGCUUGGACUUGCGACUUAGGCUACAUAGUGUGAUAAUGAUCACCGUGGCUGGAUUGCUUUAACGUCUAUGCCCAACCUUUUCCAUUGACUUGGAAAAACCCCACUUGACAUUUUGACCUCAAAUCAGGUAGGACUACCCGCUGAACUUAA
rnacentral:rRNA from 1 species